AGGACGAACGCUGGCGGCGUGCUUAACACAUGCAAGUCGAGCGGUAAGGCCCUUUGGGGUACACGAGCGGCGAACGGGUGAGUAACACGUGGGUGACCUGCCCUCUACUCUGGGAUAAGCCUGGGAAACUGGGUCUAAUACCGGAUAUGACUCAUGAUCGCAUGGUUGUGGGUGGAAAGUUUGUUCUUAAUUGGACACUUCGGUGGGGGAUGGGCCCGCGGCCUAUCAGCUUGUUGGUGGGUGAUGGCCUACCAAGGCGACGACGGGUA
rnacentral:rRNA from 1 species